UAGGGAAUCUUCGGCAAUGGGGGGAACCCUGACCGAGCAACGCCGCGUGAGUGAAGAAGGUUUUCGGAUCGUAAAGCUCUGUUGUUAAGGAAGAACGAGUGUGAGAAUGGAAAGUUCAUACUGUGACGGUACUUAACCAGAAAGGGACGGCUAACUACGUGCCAGCAGCCGCGGUAAUUCGUAGGUCCCGAGCGUUGUCCGGAUUUAUUGGGCGUAAAGCGAGCGCAGGCGGUCAAUUAAGUCUGAUGUGAAAGCCCCCGGCUCAACCGGGGAGGGUCAUUGGAAACUGGUUGACUUGAGUGCAGAAGAGGAGAGUGGAAUUCCAUGUGUAGCGGUGAAAUGCGUAGAUAUAUGGAGGAACACCAGUGGCGAAGGCGACUCUCUGGUCUGUAACUGACGCUGAGGCUCGAAAGCGUGGGUAGCAAACAGG
rnacentral:rRNA from 1 species